rnacentral:rRNA from 1 species
UACGGGAGGCAGCAGUGGGGAAUUUUCCGCAAUGGGCGAAAGCCUGACGGAGCAAUACCGCGUGAGGGAGGAAGGCCUUAGGGUUGUAAACCUCUUUUCUCUGGGAAGAAGAUCUGACGGUACCAGAGGAAUAAGCCUCGGCUAACUCCGUGCCAGCAGCCGCGGUAAUACGGAGGAUCCAAGCGUUAUCCGGAUUUAUUGGGUUUAAAGGGUGCGUAGGCGGAUUAUUAAGUCAGAGGUGAAAUUUUGCGGCUCAACCGUAACCUUGCCUUUGAUACUGAUAAUCUUGAAUUAACUUGAGGUAGGCGGAAUGUGACAAGUAGCGGUGAAAUGCAUAGAUAUGUCACAGAACACCAAUUGCGAAGGCAGCUUACUAAGGUUAUAUUGACGCUGAGGCACGAAAGCGUGGGGAUCAAACAGGAUUAGAUACCCUGGUAGUCCACGCCCUAAACGAUGAAUACUCGAUGUUAGCGAUAUACAGUUAGCGUCAAAGCGAAAGCGUUAAGUAUUCCACCUGGGGAGUACGCCCGCAAGGGUGAAACUCAAAGGAAUUGACGGGGA